rnacentral:rRNA from 1 species
UACGGGGGGGGCAAGCGUUGUUCGGAAUUACUGGGCGUAAAGGGCGCGUAGGCGGUUGGAUAAGUCAGCUGUGAAAACCACGGGCUUAACUCGUGGCCUGCAGUUGAGACUGUCUGGCUUGAGUGUGGGAGAGGAGAGUGGAAUUCCUGGUGUAGCGGUGAAAUGCGCAGAUAUCAGGAAGAACACCAAUGGCGAAGGCAGCUCUCUGGGACGGUACUGACGCUGAGGCGCGAAAGCGUGGGGAGCAAACAGG